GAUUUUAUGAGUUGGAGAAUGAAGACGAUAUGUGGUUUCCUUAACUGUGACUGAAAGAAGAUGGAUUUGUGAGAAAACUCUGAUGAACAAAUCUUACUCCUGAUGUCAGUGGUUUUCCUCAUUUGAUGAUGUGUCAGCUGUAACUUCUCAACUACUGUGUGUUGCAAUGAGCUAACCAGUGGAAUUUGUGUUGACAUCUGAUAUUACUCUUUGGGAUAAAUUCAGUGAUCCAUGAAGUCCAAGCAGUGCAGAACCUUCUGAAACUGUAUUUGGUUGUACUUCCCAAGAGCUUGGUCAGCAAUGUCAACGCAUUAUGGAAUCAAUGGGGAACAGGAAGACAACAACCAGGAAACUUUGGUCACCGUCUUCAUGCUUCCUUUUGCAAGAGGACAGCUGUUAAGAAGAGCCAUACAGUUCCUGGAAAAGUUGUCUUCGUACCUGGCCUUCGACAGCUCAGAGAAGACGGUAAUCAAACUCAAAUCUCGAGUCGUUUUAUGCAAAUUAGGGAAAAGUCAUGACUGAGGCUGGACUGCAUAUGAUUUUGAUUGGCUGCUUAGCAAAAUCUCCUCUGAGGAAUACUCAUCAUCAAAACAACAGCACAAAUCAAGAGGGGGCUUAAUCCUGACAGCGAUGAACGUCAUGGCAAAGAUACCAUUGACUUUAAUAGGGUUAGUAUUUCUCCAAAAUUUUCAUGAAGAUUUGCAUGAGGAUGCUCCUAGACUUCUUCACGAGCCAUCCUAAGUGCUUACUAUUGAAGAAAAGGUCCAUUGCGAUGGCAAGUACAGUCGGUGAAGCAGUGUGAUUGUGACAGAAACAAGACUGGAGAAAGGUCUCGGAGCAAAUCCAGAACGUACGUACGUGCGCAUUUGCACUCAGAGAAACCAAAGCGAAGGGAUGGGCAUAUGGAUGCCUGGAUACCUGUCUAAUAUGGAAUCAAGGUGCAGCUGAAACUUAUACCCAGACCCAAGUGCGCCAGUCCUGGCUAACUGACUUUGAUGCUCCCAUGACCUGAAUCAACAAAUAGGUUUAAGAUGGCUGCAUGGAUACUGCUCUCACUAAUUGUUUUCUACUGACUCAGAACCUGGAAUGCUACCUUCAGAUUAUGGAAGCUGGCAAAAUUCAUAACCUGGCAACAAGGAAAAUAUUCACAUAACUCUCGGCAAGAAACCAAAUCAAACUAUUCUUUUUAAUUGCAGAUUCAGGCACUUCGUCUAAUUUUGGCAGUCAGUGAGAUUUAAAGACCUCAACGUCUCUGAACAUCAGGCCAAUCCUUCAAGGCUUGCGCGGGCAUAACAAGAUUUGUAUCAGAAAUAAGAAGCUGGCUACAGACGUGGCUGCCAGUCGAGAAGGUCUCUAUGUUACAUUAACACAGUGUUGUCAUUUCUGUAUUGAUCAUAACACUGGCCAGAAAACAAGGGAAGAAGAAUCAACUUUAUAUGAAGUUUCUGCCGACUUGACUCCAGGGACAUCAUGAUUCUUCCCAUUUCAGGAAGACCAUCCUUUUCCAGACGCUGAAAACACUGACCCAGCUGGCAUGGAAAUUUCAUUUUUUCCAACUUAUGGUAAUGGAUUAAAUCAUAAAAAAGAGCCAUAUUACAUCCAUGGAGAUUCACUAGGGUGAUCCGCACUGAAUGGAUUUUUAUAUGGGAUAAAUUUUUUUUCCAAAGUUCAACAAGAGUGAAGAUUAUAUCUCUAUGUGUUUAGGAGCCAAAAAGCAGAUAAUGCCCGCCUCAGACAUAACGUCUUGGGAGCUCUGAGGACUUUAGACCGAGGAAAUUUUAUGGGCCUGCUGAUCUGAACUACUGAGGAGACUUUUGCAAAUGUACCUUCCUCGCAUCAGUUCAUGGGAAGUGUCUGGUGCUGCUCAUAUCAAUGCACAUUUUUUAGCCUUCAGAACUCUCUUUAGAUACAAGAUUUGGCACUUGUAGCUAUUAGAGAUACAUCUCUAAAUGUGAACACGGGCAGAUGCCUUAAUAUUUAAACAGUGUCCAAGUGAUAAUUAGGUUAUGCAACUGGUCUUUAUCUAAACAGAACACAGAAAAGCAAGAGGGGUUUACGGAAGGUUGUUUAACUUGUUUUCAUGUUUUUCUUAAUUUUAAUUGGUCAUCUAAUCAUUCCAUUGUAUUGAUCAACAAUAUCCAGAAAGACACAAACUUAACUGUGCUAAGGAUUAAUCUAAGGAUGCUAUUUAAACAUCUGCACAUCGUGGCCAGAAAACCAUGCUAUUAAACUCAUCUGAGGGCCUGCUGGUGCCAUAAGAGAAGUGUGUUGGGGUGGCUAAGCGUACCAGGUCAGGUCCCUCGUGGCUGAAAAAAAUAAAGUCAUGGCAUGUGGGUAAAACCCCAGAGAUUUCCAGAAAAGACCAUGAUUCUUUUGCCGUUGGUCAAUAAAAUUUUUACUAUUGACUCCCACAGAAGCAACGUUAGGCCAGUACUGCCUGCUUCUGAAAUCCCACCGUUAAUACCAGCCACCUUAAACGUCAGCCUGCUUGCCGCCUUUCCAAAUAUUGGAAAAGCCCUUGAAAUCUCCACCCUUCAGCCCCACUGAAAUCAAAAGAAGAGACUUUAGUUGGUAGGUUUUUGUUUGGCUUGGUUGGUUGGGAUUUUUUUUGUUUUGUGGGUUGUUUAUUUUUUUUGGUAGGCCAUCUAGAAAAAAAAUUGAGUGAAAAUCAGAUGAACAUAAAAUGAUUUUUGACACAUUUGGCAAAUGGUAGUGUUUUCAGAAGUUUGCUCACAAAAACUGUUGUGUAAGCAUCCACUUGCUCAGUUUGAGUAAGAGGGUUUCUUGCCAGGAAGGGGAAAAAAAAAGAUCACCAGUUGGCAAUAUUCAUCCUUUCCACUCAUAUUUUCUUUGCCUAUGACUCCCAAGGCAUUUGGUGGAAACGGCAGUGUUGCUUGUAUAUUUACAGCUAAAGCACAAGAGACUAAAGUGAAGAUAUGAAAACAUGAAUGCUGGAAAAGUUACGUUCCUGGAAAAGAGACACACAGAUGAGCUGACAAAGAAACCUGAUGCUCAGAACCACACUAAGAACCUGCAGAUGCUCAGCAUUUAGGAAAAUCAAAACGCUUGUUUAGGAGCCUAAGUUACGCAUUAAGCGACUGCCCCAAACUUUCAUAACGCACUAGGAGAAGAGCAGGAAUAAGAAGAGCAUAAAAUAUUCAUAGUUAUCUAUCCUAACUACUAGACCAUAUAUUAUACCCCUUGUCUUUAUUUUUGGAAAAAAACCUGUAUGACCUGCCUUUUUUUAUUUUAUUUUUUUUUAAUAGAAACAUAAUCUGAGAAGCAAUUUUUAUGCUGGGCUGUUUUUUAACUGGGUUGGUGCUGAGGAAUUAAAAUAAUCUGCAAGUCUCACAUUUUGCUUUACAUAGUUAAUGUUACAAUGACUGCCCGAUUAUUUAUCAUUCUGUUCCAUUCAUAAAAUUGUGCCAUAUACCGUCAUGUAGGAGCUGUCCAGAAGUUGACAUGGCCUUUCAUUGCUAAAAACUUUGGUUUGGCAUGGAAUGAAGUCAAAUACAGGAAGGGAAUUAUUAUGGAAACUCUAAGAAUUUGAGACCUCAGCUAUCAGCAGACACAACAAAAAAAUUCCUCCUUUUAUUGGAAGGCGUGUAAUUACUGAUCAGACAAAAAUUGCCAAGAAAUAUUUCAAGAAGGUAUUUGGCUUCUGAAAGCUAAUUCUGCCAUCAGAGUACUUGCCAGACAUAAGCCGAGCAUCACAUUGUGAUAUUUUUUCUUAUAUGAAGAGAAGUUACAGAUAUAAAAAGGGUAAAAUUUUGGAGUUCAGGAUGUUACUGUCUGUUUCAAGGAACCCUACCGAAUGUCUUUACAACCUCGAAAGCUCCUUUAUUAAAGGAAAGAUAAACUCCAAAGAAUGUUGGUAAACUAACUUUUUUUCAUUGAAGUGGAUAAGAUUAUGAUGGAUAUACCUGCUUACAUUAUCAGAGUCUAGGAAUUUUAAGAUAAACUCAGGUUCCAGAAAAAUUCAAGCUAUUCACAAGUCAAAAUAAUUUUCAAAUGCAUCCUGUGAAAUAGAGCUAUACGUGUGAUGCUCAUGCAAAGAAUUUUCCAAGUUAGUUGGAGACAUUUAAGUGUGGCACUGAUUGCAUGUGUUUAACCUUUGCACGGUAACGGUGUUGCUUUCAGCCGGAAAUGAUGAAGCCACGCAUAGAACAUUUGCAUAUCUAAAAUAUGUUCAUAAACUAGACUUUAAUGAAGCAGUUUUCAAAAUUUUAUUGUCAUGUUUAUUCUAAGUUAAAAUGAUAUAUCGUACACAAGAGUAUCAAAAUAACAACAGUAUUAUUUUGCUAGUGUGACAGAACAAGCUCACAUAAGUAAAAAUAAGGAAUAUUUACUGCACAAAAGGAAGCAAAUGUGUUAGGCAUGGAUAAUAGUUAUUCAGAAAAUGUUAGCAUGGGGGAAAAUUAAGAAACGUUGCACAUCUCGGCUAUUCUUAACUAUGAUUUCAGCGGAAGCCACCUUUUUUCUGAACAGAGCUGGUUGUUAUGUGUACCUGCAUCUUCAUAUCUUAAAAUGACCUUAAAAAAUGUUAGGUGAAAGCUAAUUCUAAUUAACUACUAUUUAAUCAGUUAAUAUUUGAAAGGAUCAGCUUUGCAUGGAAGAAGUAUAGGGCUAAAUCUGCAAAGAAUACAAUGCUGGGUAGCGCAACACCUAACUUUAAGGCACCCUGCCAGCUAGCGGGAAUUUUUGCUCCAAGAUUAGGCACGUCUCUUCCUUAAUGAAUGGAGAAGAAGAGCUAAGUCAGCUCAGAGCAAUGUCGCUGGAGACCAGCAAGCUGAACUCUUCCAGAGAAAAACAACAAGAUGCCAGCUGUAUCCCUUAGAGUAAGGCAUUUAACUCAGGUUUCUCCACUCUGGUCUUUGAAUUAAACAUCUCCAAACUGGCCAAAGGAAAUCCCAUCCCAAUAUGUAAAGCAUUCACCUGAGUAGGGACCUGUUUUCAAAAAUCUCUUCUGCUUUAGCUUGAAAAUGUAUUUCUCUGGCUUCCUGGUUCUUUUUGUUGAAUUUUUUUACUUAGUAUAUAUUGCAUACUUUGAGAGACGGGGAGGAAAGUGCAUUUGAUCAAUCAACUUGAUAGUUAUAUAUUCCUUGGCAGAGGAGAGAAUGGUAUGCGGGUUCCUGGUCCAAUGAACAUUUACUUUAUUUAUGCAGAGAAGUGCUUCAGUGGGACAGGCUGGUACCGAAUCAUCAUAAGCUGCCAGGAUUACUGAGGGAUGGCUGUGGUAAUCAAGGAAAUUAGUGCAAUCAGUAUUCAAACACAGGGCCAUAUAUAUGCAGAGACAGAAUAUGAAGCCAGAGACCCAUGAAUAUCACCUUUCUUCGUGUACACCACAAAGAAAACCAUCUCUCUGUAUAAGUCAAAAUAACAGUACUUCUGCCUUUUCAGAGUUUUUGUUGUUGAAUUCUGAAAAAUCAUGGAAAAUGCCAUUGUCUGAUGUGAAAAACUUUAUUAAGAUGAAUAAAAGGAAAAAGGUAAAACCAGCAAAAUCUUUUAUUCUGCGUACUUCUUAAGGGAAGCGUAAAGCAAGCCACAUGUGCAAAAUGGCAGAGAGAUCAGAUUGUUUUGUCUCUUUCUGCAGUGAGUUGAGCUGUAACCACCUGGCAGAGCGAGGAAUUGCUGCUCCACCAAACACUUAUCCCAUGGAGAGGUAGCACUCUCCUGCUAUUUCGUGACAGAGUAAAUAGUUUAACGUUUGUGUGAACGUGUGGCUGGAGGGGCACCCUGUUUACGACGGACUACGGAUGUCUGUGGAACGUUGCCCUUGAAGAAAUUGCAGUAUUUCCAGCAGGAAACCCAAAUGCUAAGCAGAUGUAAUUUUCUUCCAGCCCUAAACUAUUGGCCUCUUCAGUUUUAGGUUUAUACUGGCAGAAAAAUAUGCGCUUCAUUCAGUUUAACACUUUUAAGACAACGGUCACAAAACAAUGACGUUUCAGCCCUGUUGACAAAGACUGGAAGCCGCUGGGAAGAUCAUGCAGAUCUGCAUUUCCCUGAGGGCACACAGACUGCUCAUUAAAUCUACUCGGUCAUAUCACUUACGCAUUAAACUUAAAAAAUCAAAACAAAAAAAGAAA